CCCAUUCCCUCCUUCUCGCUCUUGUGUUCGCUCAGCAACGCGAGCGAGAAUAUCUUUCCCUCUUUCUCGCUCUCGUUCUCGCUCAGCGACGUGAGUGAGGCUAAUUCUUUUUGGACUAUAAUCUGACAAGGGCUGCUACCAAACUUGGGAAAAAUAGGAAGAUAAAUUCAUUAUACAAAUAGCCUUUCCUAUGUUUUAUGAAGGAGAAUGGACACAAUUCAAAAAGAGGGUGUCCCAUUUUAAUCCGGCCGGCUG